UUCGCAAUGCCCGAAAGGGUGACGAAGCGACGCCGCGUGGGUGAAGAAGGCCUUCGGGUUGUAAAGCCCUGUCAGGAGUUAAGAAAUGUAGAUUCGCUAAUAUCGGGUCUAUUUGACAAAGGCUCCAAAGGAAGCCACGGCUAACUCUGUGCCAGCAGCCGCGGUAAUACAGAGGUGGCAAGCGUUGUUCGGAAUUAUUGGGCGUAAAGAGCACGUAGGUGGAUUUGUAAGUCAGAUGUGAAAGCCUUUUGUUCAACGGAAGAAUUGCAUCUGAAACUACAAACCUUGAGUAUAGGAGGGGAGAGUGGAACUUCUGGUGGAGCGGUGAAAUGCGUAGAUAUCAGAAGGAACGCCGGCGGCGAAAGCGAUUCUCUGGCCUAUUACUGACACUCAGUGUGCGAAAGCUAGGGGAGCAAACGGGAUUAGAUACCCCGGUAGUCCUAGCCGUAAACGAUGGGCACUAAGUAGAGGGGUUUU
rnacentral:rRNA from 1 species